CAUAGUAACAUGCCUGAUAAUAAUGCUGAGUGCACCAAGAGGGGUAACAAGAAUGGCUGGGGCAAAUGCAAAAAUUUGCAAUUUCUCCAACAAUCACUGUCACAAUAGCAAACAAAACACAAAAUCAGUAGUGGGAAAGAACCUUUAAUCAAAGAUUAACUGUCUAUGCCUAACACAUUUAAUUGUCUUACAGGAAUACUUACAUUUUCCUCCCUUGUUACUGUAGAUAAUUAGACAAGCCUCCAGUGGUUUGAGAAUUACAGUCCUCCCUUGUUAUUAUCUCUGGCUAACUAUCAGCCUCCUGUUAGUCAGAGUGGACAUUUUUAAGCUGUGAAAUUCUACAAAAACGCAUCAAAGAAAGUGCAAUUCAGCAAUACAUUAUACACGCCACAUUCUCCUGUCAGAUUUCACGUGUUUUCUUUUCACCCCAAAACUCAAAAGCCUUUUCUUUGCUACGCCGUUGCUGCUGUCGCCGACCAGACGUCGCAGCGGCCGCGCCACCCACCAGACGUCGACGAGCUCUCCUUCUUUGCUGACAGUCCGCGCUCGCUUUUUGCCAAUUUUCAGCAUUGCACCAGAAUCUCAGUUUGCAUGACAAUCAAGAUCCUUAAGUCAUGCUGUUAUACAAACAUGAACAUUCUUGAAAUUGGAAGACAUGGCUCCAGUCCUCCACUUCCCCACCACCGUGCGU